ACUGCGAGUGAAGAGGGAAAAGCUCAAAUUUAAAAUCUGGCAGCUUCGCUGUCCGAGUUGUAAUUUAGAGAAGUGUUGCCCGCGCUGGACCGUGUACAAGUCUCCUGGAAUGGAGCGUCAUAGAGGGUGAGAAUCCCGUCUUUGACACGGACUACCAGUGCAUUGUGGUGCGCUCUCAAAGAGUCGCGUUGUUUGGGAAUGCAGCGCUAAAUGGGUGGUAAAUUCCAUCUAAAGCUAAAUAUUGGCGAGAGACCGAUAGCAAACAAGUACCGUGAGGGAAAGAUGAAAAGAACUUUGGAAAGAGAGUUAAACAGUACGUGAAAUUGCUGAAAGGGAAACGCUUAAAGUCCAGUCGCGUCUUCUGGGAAUCAGCCUUGCUUCUGCUUGGUGUACUUCCUAGUUGACGGGUCAGCAUCAGUUUUGACCGUUGGAUAAAGGCUGAGGGAAUGUGGCUCCCCCGGGAGUGUUAUAGCCCUUGGUUGUAUACAACGGUUGGGACUGAGGAACUCAGCACGCCGCAAGGCCGGGUCUCGUACCACGUUCGUGCUUAGGAUGCUGGCAUAAUGGCUUUAAUCGACCCGUCUUG
rnacentral:rRNA from 1 species